rnacentral:lncRNA from 1 species
AAGCCUGCAACUUCCAUGUUUUGCAAAUAAGCAUCGAUGCUUUCUGCUUCCGAGAAGCCACCGUCGUCAUAGCCGUCCGAUAUGGUGUCGAUUUGAACUGAAUCGGAGGGCUGAGGUGGUUUUUUGGUUUUGUAAAUGAAGUUUGUUAUGGCUAAAGUAAUUUUCAGACCUUUAGAAGCUAAUCGUUUGGCAAAUUGGAAAGUGGGGUUUAUGUGACCUUGGCUUGGAUAUGAAACUAUCAAGACAUGGGCUCUGUGAAUUUUUUUCUCUUCCAUUUUCUCUGUUUUUUUUUUUUACUAAUUUUUUUGUGAAGUGAUAGAGCUAGUCUUGCUUACUAUUUGUUCAGUCUCUUAUUUUGGAUAAGCUCUUUAUAGGGAAGGAAGUCGGGAAGGCAAAACAUGUCACGAGAUUUGCACGUGAGAUAUUUGGAUCACGUGGCUAAAUAAAUUAUUGCGAUUAAUUAUCUUCAAUACCUAGGUAUCUGUUGAGUGUUGAAUGCAUGCAUGAUCUCAAGUUAAUUGUUGUUUAAGCGAAGUUUUUCUGAAGUUUAUAUGAAAAAUUCAUUUAGUCAACAAGCAAAUGGAAUCAAAUCCAGCACGCACAGUCUUUAUUAUUGCUUGCACUAUUUUUUAAGAAUAAUUUACAAUAUUCUAUGAGAAACGAAGUGUGGAUGAAAGACGAGUUAUUGAACUAAGUGUGCUUGCGAAACAAGAAUUGAAUUCAUAAACUUGCAAGGGUUAAAUAAUAAACUUAAUAUUUUUUUUAUAUUUGAAUUUACAAGAUAUUGCAUCCCCUAUCAAUUAAUCGUCAUUCGUCAUUGUCGUUUUCAUGAUUUGUAAAUUACAUACUGUCGGCAUGAGAAUCAUAAAAACUGGGAAAUAUGAAAAUGUCUCACCCCAAGCAUCAGCAAAGAAGAAUUUGGUGUAUUCUACAUAACAACAAGGCAGUCUUCAAAGUCUAGAUUUUCCUUAUCUAAUUCUCGUAAUACUAUAAAUUUUAACCUCCUUUAAUAAAACCAAUUUGAUUGUCUCUAUUUUUAUUUUUAAUUUGUUGGAUGGAAGACACUUAGGUCUCUAACGUUUCUCACUUUUACUAAUUAGGUUCUAACUUUUUUUAAUACCCAUAUAUUUUGGGGCUCUUUUAUUAUUAAAAUCCUACUUUUAGUCUAAUUUAAUGUGUUUGUCAAAAGGUUGGAAGGGUAAUCGAUGUUGAAAAAUUACGAUUAUCAUUCAAAUGUAAAUUGGAAUAUUAAAAUUAUAAGGCGGUGAUAUUUUCAUUCUACUAAUUUUGUAAACCCUCCCCACUUCUAGAAAAUAAUUACAAAAGUUUUACAUUAUUUUAAAAAAUUUCAAAUAAAGAAUAAUUUUGGAGAAUUGAUUAAUUAAAUCCAUCCUUUUUUUUUUGUGAUCUAGAUUUUUUUUAUUAUGUUUAACUACUCAGAUUGCCUUAAACUAAAUUUACAAAAAAAAAAUUAAAAAAUUUAUUUCAACUUAAUUUUAUUCAAAAUACCUUGUCUCUAAGUUAUGUGUCAAUUCUACUUUAAUAGGAUGAUUAUUAAUCUUUAAUUAAACUUACAUAAUGUCUUUAAAGUACCAUGCUCAUCUAAAUUAUCGAGUUGCCAAAUUUAUAUCAUUUGUCAUGUAAGAUAUUGAAAAAUAUUAGAUUUCAUUUAAAAAAAAUUAGAUUAUAGGUCACAAAAUUAAUUAUCUAAACUAUUAAAUACAAGACCACGUAUUUCUUGGGUAAUUGGGUCAUUUUUUGUCAUAAGGGUAAAAUAAUGAAAUAAAACUUGUGUUAAAGCAAUUUUAAUAGCCUAAGAUUGUCAAAGAAACUUAAAUAAGAAAAAACUCAUAAGGAGGAUGUAAUCAAUUAAUAGUAUAAUCUUUUUGUUGAUUCAUUUGUUACCAAUAAUAGUGUGAUUGUGUGAAUGUGUGGUGUGCCUACAAAAAUAGUAGGGUAGAAAUAUCCCACCCCACGGUGAUAAUUCCACCCCACAAUUUCUGCAAACCCACCUUAAUUGCAGAAAAUAAUUGCACAAAGUGCACAUUAUUUUUAAAAUUUUAAAUGAAGAAUAAUUUUGGAGAAUUAAUUAAUUAAAUCAAUAUUGUUUUUUAAUUAAUGUUUAUUAUAUUUGAUUGCUUUAAUAUAAGUUUAGAUUAACUAUUUUACCCUUAUAAGAUAAAAGCACAAAACCUACUUUAACAUUAAUUUUUUUUUCAAUCUUAUACAAAAUUCAUUGUUUCCAAAUGAUGUAUUAUCUAAACAAACAUAAUAUCUUUAUAGCAUAAUACCUAAGUAAACUACUAGCCUGUCCAAUUUAGGUAAUUUACAUCGGAGCAAAGACAAAGUUACAAACUUUUAUUCAAAUUUGUUUUGUGCAAACUGAUAUAGCAUAAUUCAAUUACUUGGAUUAAAUAGCUCUUUGUUCACAUGAUUUAUUUUUAUUAUUUCGUAUUUUUAUCUAACCAAUGAAUUUAUAUCAUAUCAGUUUGUACAAAGUAAGUUAAUAAAAAAUUUGUCACUCUAUCAUCACUCUUCAUUAGGGUAUUGAAAACAAUUAUUAAAUUUUAUUUAAAAAAAUUAGAUUAUUAGUCAAAAAAAUUAAAUAUCUAAACUAUUGGAUACAAUAACUCAUGUUUUUGUAUCAAUUUGAUUAAUUAAAGCCUAUAUCAAAGCAACAAUUAUAGUCAAAGAUGGUUAAAGAAACCUAAAUAAGAAAAAUUAUGAAAAGGAUUUAAUUGAUUAAUUGUACAAACUUUUGUUAAUUUCUAUUUGUUAGAAAUAAUGUGAAUUCAUUGUAAUUAUUUUCUAAAAGCGGGGUGCAAAUAUCUCCACCAUUAAAAAAAUACAAAAUUUGAUUGUAGACAUGGGCGGACCUAGUGUAGGCCCAGGAGGGGCUGAAGCCCCUCCUGAGCUUUGAAAUUUAUUUGAAUAUAUAUUAUAAUUGGUUCAUUUAAAAAUUUUCCUUUGAAAAUAUUUUUAUGUUUGGCUCAUUUUUUAGUUUGUUAUAUAUGUACUAGACUUGAAAGGAGUGUUUAAGUGAAGAUUUAAUUGAUUGACAUAAGUGUCAUCUUAUAACUUUAAAUUUUCAAAAAUAUCAAGGCAAAAUUCAUUGGUUUUUAGCUUUUUAAUUAGCCAACUGGUUUCAUCACUCUUUCAAAAAUAAAAUUGCACGAUCUUUUUAUCACAUUCAAAUAAAAAACGAAGGAAGUAUUAAGAUUUUCUCAUAUGAAUUAAACACGACUAAUUGAGUUAGAGUUAUUUGAUCAACUAAAUUUCUUACUAUUUGUGGUAACCUUUUUUUUUUUUGCCUCAAAUAAUUGUUCUAAUUUAAGUCAUUGCAUGAAAACAACAAAAUUUCAAAUUGUUGAUUAAGCUGAUAAUGAAAUUAUUAUAGUAUGUAAUUUUAAAAAAAUUGAAAAUGAGUCGAGGAUAGUCAUAAAUGUGUUGAAAAUUAUUAAUUCAAUGAAGUUCAAUAAUUUAGCACUUGUUUUUGUUUGAAUUUUUGUUCAGUUUAUUAAAUCAUCUGGUAUCCAAAGACCACAUUGAGCCCUGACUAAUUUAGAUUCGAGCCGGGUAGGACCACUAGAGCGGUAAAAUUCUCCCAACAAGUAUUUAACGUAAUUGCAUUCCCAAAUCUCGAACCGAGGACCUUGGUUAAGUUAAAACAGCCGCAUGCCGGCUAAUAUUAGCGUUUGUUAGUGAAUUUUUUUUUUUUAAUUGUAUUGUACUAAGCCCCUCCUAGAUAAAAUUUCUGAGUCCGCCACUGAUUGUAGAUAUGUGAAACGGGUGAGUAUAACGUCACAUAAGGGCCUUUUGGUUGAAGUGAUUUUUGUGUAAUCUUCGAUCUAUUUGUCUUCUUAGUUUUCUUCAGUUUGAGCAAUAAAUGCUUUUGUUAACCAUUGGAUCAAAUUAAUUCCUAUUUUCACGAUGUGAAAUUAAACUUUAAUAGUGUUUUGAGAAGCACUUAUUUAUCGCAACAUGACAAUACGUUGCGUGCAAACUACAUGAGCUUAUGGUUCUACGCCAUUUUGUUGAUUCGAUCUUUUGGAGCGUUGGAGGCAGCCAAGCACCAUAAAUCAGUCUUGGGAUGUAGUUUGUUAAUGACAAGCACCAUUGACCCAAGAAAUUUGUUCACUUGUUUUAGUUGCCAUAUUACUGUCAAAUUAGUGGUUCCCAAAGGCUCCCAAAUGUAGCUUAAGUUGAUUAUUUUAUUGCUGUUAUAAGAUAAAAGUAUCAAAAUACCCAUAAAUUUUUUUAAACUUCAAUAAAUUUUUUAAUAUAAUAUAAUUUAUAAUUUUUUCGAAUGAUUUAUUAUUAUUAUUACUUUAUUAAAUGAUUAUUAAUUUUUAAUGAAACUAAUAAAAAAUCUUUAUAACAUAAUAUUUUAAGGAAUCUAUUGGCUGUCAAAUUAUGUGCUAUAUACACAUAGGAGUAUUGAAAAUUUCAAUUCAAAAUGUUAGAUUAGAUAGGUUAUAAAACUAAAUAUUAAAUUAACUCCAUGCUUUCUGCACAACUUUAUUUUCGAACUUCAUAUGGCAAAUUUGUCAAAGACACUUUAGUGGCCAAAGAGAAUAAAAAAGUAACGUGAUUUUUUUUUUAAAUGAGGAUUUUAAUUGUUAAUUGUCAAAAUUUCUUCUUUAUUUGAAAUUAUAAAAAAUAACAUGAAUUUUUUGUAAUUAUUUUUUGAAGUGGUGGUACAUUUACAGAAUUUUAGGAGGUGAGCGGUUUUUACUACAUAAUUUUAAAUAAACGCAACAUCAUUACUGAUCCCAUCAAAUUUUGAUAUUUCUUUUGUAUUGGGUGGAAAAUCAGAUAAAGCUAAGCUAUUCCUUAAGGAAUAUAUGUUCUGUGAGCUUAGAUGGAUUAUAUAAUUUUUAACCUUCAACCGCGUGUUUUUCUAUAAAUUUUUGAACGCCGGUGAUGAGAUGGGAUAUUAAAAAUUUAUAAAGAUUGAAAUAGCAAAAACAAAUUUAAGAAACUGUUUGUUUUCUGCAGCUGAUGUGAGGCUUGUUAUUUGGAUGAAAUAUUUUUCCUUUAAGGAAAACCCAUGCUUAAUAAAUUAAAUUUACAAAAUUUUAAUAAAAAAUAAAUUUUAAUAUUUAGCAAACUAACUUUGUGAAUAUUUUAAUCACAAAUGCCCUGUUUUCUUUUAGUGAAAAAAAAUAUAAAACUAAAAAAGAUCUAUUGAUUUCCGAAUUAAUUUUUUUCGUUUCGUUUCUUUGUGUUUUCACUAAGCUUUACUUGACGCCUUGACUUCAAAUCGAUAUCCAGUCCUGAAUAGUUAUAUUUCUCUUGUAUAGUUUCUAUAAAUUUAAUUCCCAUUGUGCUUGUUUUCCGAACCAAUGUUCCAUUUCAAUGCCAAUGAAUACAGUAGUUUUUCUUUUCCCAAAAAAGAAAAAAAAGAAAAGAAGAAUACAGUAGUUUUUGUUUUCUUGAUCUAUUUUUUGCGGUAAAUUUUUCUAAAAUAGAAAGCAAACCUGCAAAGCCAUAACCGAUCUCUCCUUCCAUCCUGGAUAAAUGGCACCACCAAUUUUUCAUAAAAUAAAAAGCCUGUGUGGUCGAUCCAGAAUCAGUUGCAAUGACGCCGGAAGAGUCAUCAACAUCAGCCUUAAAAAUACAGGAUUAAGUGGUAAAUUUCAUGAGUUUUCAGUCUCAUUGUUUCCUCAUCUUUUCUUGAUCUCAGCUUUAAUGAAUUAUAUGGUAUCAUCCCUCCUCAAAUCGGUAAUCUCUCCAAGGUUCUGUUCCUUUCUCUAUAUGAGCUUUAAUGAAUUAUAUGGUAUCAUCCCGCCUCAAAUCGGUAAUCUCUCCAAGGUUCUGUUCCUUUCUCUAUAUGAUAACAAUGUUUCAGGAAAAGUACCUCCCGAAAUUUGCCUACUAACUCAUUUGAAAGUUCUUUCUCUUGCACUCCAACAAUUUGAACCGUUCAAUUCCUUCUUCUUUAGGUGUCCUGAACAACUUACAGUUGUUUGUUAAUGAAAAUUCUCUUUCUAGUUCUAUUCUUCCCAACAUGAGAAACUUGAAGUCUCUCUCAGAAUUAAAUUUGAGCAUUAAUCAACUUAGCGGUUCAAUACCUCCUUCCUUUGGUAACUUGAGAAACUUGAAUGGAUUGUGCCUCUUUCGUAGUUUACUUUCGGUUUUCUAUUCACUGGAAUGGAUUGUGCCUCUUUCGUAGAGUUUUCUAUUCGAAGGGAAAUAUGGAACUUGAGGUGUCUUAUUGUCCUUGAUUUGACACAAAAUCAAUUUAGAGGUUUUGUUCCUCCAUCUGUAGCUAGUUUUACUAAUUAAAGAAUUACAAUUGCAAAUAUACAAAAUCACAGUAAUUACAAUUGAAACAAUAAUAAUAUUAAUAUUAAAUACCAAUAAGAAUGCUAGCGCAAACCUGAGGUUACCACAGUUUUUUGCGCCUCCUACUGUUGUGCUUUAGAAUUGCAUGGCGUCUGUCCCAAGAUACAACAGAGUCAAAUAACUCUAGUGCACCACCAGGUUAUUCUUAGUAACUUCCAUUGUGUUUGAAUUCUGUCAUGUCUGAAUGCUAUCAAAUUGAAUUGAUGCAUAUCAAGGAGGAGGGGAAGUGUUUACUAUAGCAAUUUGCAUUUGUCAUGUGCUGUCUCUUGUUAUAUAUAAUCGUGUAAUUUGAAAUGAAGAGAAAUAUGCCAUUUCAUAUAGCCAUUGGUGUGAGGGCAAUAUUGUUCAAAUUAACUAUAUUCAAAUUAUUGUGCGCGGAAUGCGGAAUCAAGCGCACCAAAUAAUUAUAGAAAAAUAAAAGGACAUAAAAUUUACAUAGUUCGGCAAUAUGCCUAUGUCUACAGGAGUAAGAGAAAAAUAAUUGUAGUAUUAACAAUUAUUUGAGUACAAUAUUAGAGUAACGAAUCUCACUUCCCAGAAACCCAAAUAUACCUAAUACUCUCACACUCUACAGGAAAUAUAAAUUCCCCAGACAUACUUCUCUCACUUCUCUCAAAAGUUGAGAAGCUUAUAAGCUUAACAAAUUUAGAGAUGGUUUGGAAUGAAGAAAUGGCUUCAAUUUAUAGGCUUCAAGCUUGCGCUAUUCCACCUAACCCCUUUGCAAUUUGUCAGUCUUCAUCUCUAUCAAUUUGACAAAUUUUGCUAACUUUUCUAUUUUUCUUCAUUCGGUGCAGGAUUGUCGAAUGCCAAAUAUUCUAUACCUUGCAAUUUUGAAUUUGGAAGUCAUUUUAUUGACUUCCUAACAAUUCUCCACCUAGGUAAAGAUUUGUCCAAAUCUGAGCAGACUACCAACAGAUCAUUAUCCCCAAAGUGGCUGCAUCUCUGUGGCUGCCUACAUACUCACAAAUUUUGGAUCAAGCCAACCUUAGUUCAAAAAUUCCCGAAGGAAAUAACUUAACACAAUCAAAUGAUUUGGAUUAGUUUCAAGUAGUGUUGAAACUUAACUCCAAAAACUACCUUCAUCAUCAUAUCUGAUGGGUUAUCCUUGGUAUCGAUCUUUUUCAAUAACACAUCACCGUUCUCAAUAACCUCUCUCACAUAAUGAUAUUUCACAUCUAUGUGUUGUGUCCGAGCGUGAUAUGUUGGAAUCUUCGCGAGGAAUAUCUCAUUUUGGUUAUCACAAAAGACCUUAAUGUUCUCUUGGAUUACUCCCAAAUCAUCAAACAAGCCUUUCAACCAGAUAACUUCCUUUACAGCUUCAGUUGCUGCCAUGUACUCUGCUUCCAUAGUAGACAGAGCAGCUGUCGAUUAUAAAAUCGACCUCCAACUAACCGGACCUCCACCCAAUGUGAAUAUGUAGCCUGUUGUUGAUCUUCGCUUAUCUAAGUCUCCAGCAAAAUCAAAAUCACAAUACCUAAUACAUUGUUGACCACAAUCUUUCUUGAAUAAUAAACCAACAUCCAUUGUUGCAUUGAAAGAGAUGACCAUCCCAACAGCAAGGGAAGCACAAGAACAAGCACGAGCAAGAGCAUUGGAAAAGCAGGAGCAUCUCUGUAAACUCAGUCAAGCAUUGGCUGUUUUAGCUUCAGCAUCUGUAAGGCUAUAUAAAACUUCUAAUUAUCAAGAUUUGGCUGAUUGUUAGCUUUUUCUUUUUCACCUUUAAUACUGCUCUUUCAAGUGUGGUCAUCUGCCAUGUUUUUUUAUUUUGGCUUCUCUAAUCUCGCAGUCGGUGAGCAGCGAGCGUGAAGAGUUCCUGAGGCUCGUCAAUAAGGAGGUAUAUGCAAACCUAGGAUAUAUUUGGGAUGCAAAGGCUUUUAGAUUUGCUGAUCUUAAUUAAAGAUUUGUUUGUACAUAAUGUCUACUUGAUAUUUUUGUCAAUCUGCGUUGGGCCAUCUGCAGUCAACAAAUUUUUUUGAUUCGGCAGAAAUUUGCUAUCCAUUCUUUGUUUCAAAUUGAAGCACUCAUUUGUAGCUAAAACUUACCUUUUUGGAAAUAACAGAGAAUCAUUAAGAAUGUCACAACUUUUGCCUUUAAAUCUUGUAUCUGUUGGAUUCCUUAUUACUUUUUCUUCUGUGAUUUUAUUGCCUCGAUGUUUUCCAGAUAGAACUCUACAAUAGCAUGGCAGAAAAAGAGGGUACUGAUGGUGAGAAGGAUGCCAUAAAGGCAUAUAUAGCAGCUCGAGAGGAAAGUGAUCAUGCUACUGAAGUUGCUGAAGGUGACGAUGUUUCUUCAGCACUUGUAGAAAAGGUAAGCUCAUCAGAUGCUCCUCUAUUUCUGUUACGUCAGCUUCAGAUGUUAGUUGCUCUUUUAAAUGUUUGGUGAUGCUUCAGGUUGAUGCAAUGCUUCAAAAUCUUGAGAAAGAAAUUGAUGAUGUGGAUGCUAUAAUUGGUGAUCGUUGGAAAUUACUUGACAGGUAUAUCAUUGGUUUUCAGGAAUCAGGAUGAAGCUUCUCUUUGUGGUUAGCUAUUUUAUGAUAAUGUGCGGUAGUGAUAGUUUUCGGUUCUUAGAAUAGUCGAUCUUGUUUGUAGUAACUGAUGUUCAGACAUCAAAGUGGUGCAUGUGCCAGAUUUAUGGGUGCUAAGGUAUAAAUUUUAAUAUGGAGUAAGAAAUGUGAGGCAUGCUUGUUAAGGAAAUUAGAUAUUUUUUCUAUGGUAUCUUGGUGAUAGUUUGACAUUCUCAGGUAUGAAAAAGAGGUUGAAAGAAUCAUCUUUUGGAUGGUUAAUGUUCUUUGAAUGUUUCCUAUAAAAUAAACGGUGCUUAAUAUGUGCUGCAAAAAAAGUAAGUGCUAUGAGUGAAUUUGAAUUAGAGAUUGGGAAGAUGAUUACAAUGAGAAGCACCGGAUAUGCACUGAAGUCAGUCGAAGUUUUAGAUAAGAAACAGACCCCCAUAUGGGCCCUUUGUUAAAUGUCAACUUCUCUGGAGUUAGCAGCCUUCUAUGUUUUAGACACUGUUUAAUUGAGAUAAGCUCAGAUUUUGUUUGUUCUGAUUUAGCCUCCUCUAUGUACGCUUUCUGUGUUUAUUAUUUUGUUUACACAAUUAGAUUUUUUAUGAAUGAUUUGAUUAGUUUCAACUUAUACUUUGAAUGUUUGGCCUUCAUUUCAUAUAAUAAAUAUAUCAACUUGCUUUAUAUCCACAGCGAUCAUGACGGGAAAGUUACUCCUGAAGAGGCGGCUAGUGCUGCUUUGUAUUUGAAGGAUACAUUAGGAAAGCAGGGUGUCCAAGAACUGAUCAGCAACCUUUCAAAAGAUAUAGGUGAGCUGAUGAAUUAUGUUUGUGUAUUUGACUCGGUUACGGAUAUAGAUGUACUUUAUGUUAUGUUAACUGAAUUAUCGUCUAUUCUCGUCGGAAGUUUGGCAUUUAGUCACUACCUGAUUUAACAAUGGAUGAAAGUUGCUUCUUAUAUUAAUUACCUGCUAACUGGGGAAAGAGAUAAGUGGGCUGAAUGUGAGUGCAUGUGUUCAGUCUGGAGGUUGUGACAUUUCCAUUAGAACUUGAAAAUAUAACCAAGGCCCAAGCUCUGUCGAAGAUGAUUUUCUUUGGCAAAAAAUCAUUUGAAUUUUCAGUCAUUUUAAAUAAUGAAUUUCUUGUUUGUGUUCCAUCAUGGUUUUUUGUUUAUGCAUCAAGUAUUAAAUUAGUUCAGAAACAUGACUGCAUGACUUAAAUUUAACAGACGGGAAGAUUCUUGUUGAAGACAUUGUCAGAUUGGGCAGCCGCACCGAGCAUACCACUUCAGCUGAAGAGAGGGGGAAAUGUGGAGGGUAACUGCCUGAUUGAUAUGUUUUAAACUCAAUAACUUGAUUUUACUAUCAAUUUGAUUGUCUCUAUUUUUAUUUUUAAUUUGUUGGAUGGAAGACACUUAGGUCUCUAACGUUUCUCACUUUUACUAAUUAGGUUCUAACUUUUUUUAAUACCCAUAUAUUUUGGGGCUCUUUUAUUAUUAAAAUCGUACUUUUAGUCUAAUUUAAUGUGUUUGUCAAAAGGUUGGAAGGGUAAUCGAUGUUGAAAAAUUACGAUUAUCAUUCAAAUGUAAAUUGGAAUAUUAAAAUUAUAAGGCGGUGAUAUUUUCAUUCUACUAAUUUUGUAAACCCUCCCCACUUCUAGAAAAUAAUUACAAAAGUUUUACAUUAUUUUAAAAAAUUUCAAAUAAAGAAUAAUUUUGGAGAAUUGAUUAAUUAAAUCCAUCCUUUUUUUUUUGUGAUCUAGAUUUUUUUUAUUAUGUUUAACUACUCAGAUUGCCUUAAACUAAAUUUACAAAAAAAAAAUUAAAAAAUUUAUUUCAACUUAAUUUUAUUCAAAAUACCUUGUCUCUAAGUUAUGUGUCAAUUCUACUUUAAUAGGAUGAUUAUUAAUCUUUAAUUAAACUUACAUAAUGUCUUUAAAGUACCAUGCUCAUCUAAAUUAUCGAGUUGCCAAAUUUAUAUCAUUUGUCAUGUAAGAUAUUGAAAAAUAUUAGAUUUCAUUUAAAAAAAAUUAGAUUAUAGGUCACAAAAUUAAUUAUCUAAACUAUUAAAUACAAGACCACGUAUUUCUUGGGUAAUUGGGUCAUUUUUUGUCAUAAGGGUAAAAUAAUGAAAUAAAACUUGUGUUAAAGCAAUUUUAAUAGCCUAAGAUUGUCAAAGAAACUUAAAUAAGAAAAAAAUCAUAAGGAGGAUGUAAUCAGUUAAUAGUAUAAUCUUUUUGUUGAUUUAUUUGUUACUAAUAAUAGUGUGAAUGUGUGGUGGGUCUACAAAAAUAGUAGGAUAGAAAUAUCCCACCCCACGGUGAUAAUUCCACCCCACAAUUUCUGCAAACCCACCUUAAUUGCAGAAAAUAAUUGCACAAAGUGCACAUUAUUUUUAAAAUUUUAAAUGAAGAAUAAUUUUGGAGAAUUAAUUAAUUAAAUCAAUAUUGUUUUUUAAUUAAUGUUUAUUAUAUUUGAUUGCUUUAAUAUAAGUUUAGAUUAACUAUUUUACCCUUAUAAGAUAAAAGCACAAAACCUACUUUAACAUUAAUUUUUUUUUCAAUCUUAUACAAAAUUCAUUGUUUCCAAAUGAUGUAUUAUCUAAACAAACAUAAUAUCUUUAUAGCAUAAUACCUAAGUAAACUACUAGCCUGUCCAAUUUAGGUAAUUUACAUCGGAGCAAAGACAAAGUUACAAACUUUUAUUCAAAUUUGUUUUGUGCAAACUGAUAUAGCAUAAUUCAAUUACUUGGAUUAAAUAGCUCUUUGUUCACAUGAUUUAUUUUUAUUAUUUCAUAUUUUUGUCUAACCAAUGAAUUUAUACCAUAUCAGUUUAUACAAAGUAAAUUAAUAAAAAAUUUGUUACUCUAUCAUCACUCUUCAUUAGGGUAUUGAAAAUAAUUAUUAAAUUUUAUUUUAAAAAAUUAGAUUAUUAGUAAAAAAAACUUAAAUAUCUAAACAAUUAGAUACAAUAACUCAUGUUUUGGUGCAAUUUGGUCAUUUUAUAUCAUAAGAGUGAAAGAGUCAAAUAAAGCCUAUAUCAAAGCAACAAUUAUAGUCAAAGAUGGUUAAAGAAACCUAAAUAAGAAAAGUUAUGAAAAGGAUUUAAUUGAUUAAUUUUACAAACUUUUGUUAAUUUCUAUUUGUUAGAAAUAAUAUGAAUUCAUUGUAAUUAUUUUCUAAAAGUGGGGUGCAAAUAUCUCCACCAUUAAGAAAAUACAAAAUUUGAUUGUAGAUAUGUGAGACGGGUGAGUAUAAUGUCACAUAAGAGCCUUUUUGUUGAAGUGAUUUUUCUGUAAUCUUCGAUCUAUUUGUCUUCUUAGUUUUCUUCAGUUUGAGCAAUAAAUGCUUUUGUUAACCAUUGGAUCAAAUUAAUUCCUAUUUUCACGAUGUGAAAUUAAACUUUAAUAGUGUUUUGAGAAGCACUUAUUUAUCGCAACAUGACAAUACGUUGCGUGCAAACUACAUGAGCUUAUGGUUCUACGCCAUUUUGUUGAUUCGAUCUUUUGGAGCGUUGGAGGCAGCCAAGCACCAUAAAUCAGUCUUGGGAUGUAGUUUGUUAAUGACAAGCACCAUUGACCCAAGAAAUUUGUUCACUUGUUUUAGUUGCCAUAUUACUGUCAAAUUAGUGGUUCCCAAAGGCUCCCAAAUGUAGCUUACUGCUGUACCGUACAUCCGCCUUGGCCGUACAGCAGAUCACUUAUCAUUUCCGCAGCAAAAGCAACCCCAUUUUCUUGCUUUACUUCACUAGCUUCUGUAACUGCACCAUGUAUCCCAUUACAAUUACCGAAGUAAUUAUCCGGAACCGGAGGAUCCAAGCGGGUCCUGUAAUCCGCAGUGAACCCAACAAGAGCAUUUCUAUUACCUUGAGCUUCACCCGUUUUGGCUUUAAACAUGCAAACAAAUACAUAAGCUAAUGUAAGUACGAAACUCGAUAAGUGAAGUUGUCUUGAUUUUUUCACAUCACUUGCCGUAACAAUUUCAUUAACCUUGUCCCUAAGCUUCUUUAUAUCUUCACGGCUCAGCUUGGUAGAAGAAUAGGCGUUCGACAGGAAGAACCUUGAACCAGUAAAUGUCCAAGUAGGUGAGGGGAAGAGUGAACAGCGCCGUUUUGGUUGAGCUAGGGUCGGCGAGCGGGGUCACUUUGUUGCAUGCGUGGAUCUUCUGCUAUUCAAAAGUGUUUGUAUGGUACAAAACAAGAUGCGUGUACGAAGAAACAAUGAGCACAUGGGAAUUUAAAGGCGAAAAAUUUUUAUAAUACAUAUCAACUAUUAAAAAAAAUAAUAAUAUUAUGAUAUGUAUGUAUUUAUAUUAAAAUUAUAUUAAAAUUUAAUUACAUAUAUUAUAUAUGUAUGUUUUAAUUGUAUUAGUUUCGAUGUAUUUUAAAAUUUUAAAAAUUUUAGAUAUUGAUUGAGCGGCAGAUGGAAUAUGAUUUUUUUUUGUUUGGGUCAAUUAAUACAAAUCUAAUCGAAUCAAUAGACUUGCAGCCAGCCCGUGAAAAAAUAAUAAUUUGGUGAUUUUAAAAUUUUAACUCCUAUGUGCGUGUGUGUGUGUAAAGUCUGAACUCCCCAGGCCCUGAGGCCCCAACUGAUGGGAUGUAACAAAUCAUAAUUUGUAAUCUGGAAACGUGACAACGUGCAGCUUCCAGACAAUACCAAAGGGGCAUGUAAGAGAAUUACUGCACAAAGUUUAGCUGUUUUUUUUGUCACUUUUUGUUUUCAAAAUUUAAAGGUAGCUGCCAGCCACAAGACAAUCCGUUGACGUUUUACUUUGAAUCGAUUCAUCACCUUUCACCUUUUACUGGAAAGUGUCAUAUGAUUAACUAUGCUAUCACCACGGAUAUGUGGUUCAAAUUACUUAGAAACCUGAGAUUUAGAUGAAAUGAGGAGUAUUUUAUUCAAAGCUGAUGGAAUUUUUGUUAAGAGUACAAGACCAUUUGGUUACUUCAUUUAUAACCCUCAAAAUAAGGAUGGAAUUAAUCAUCUGUUGAUAAUUGUGGUAUUGGAUUUAAGUACGUAACUCAAAAAAGUUAAUGUUAGCAUCGUCAUCGCUUAUGUAAAGAAGAAAAAUCGAAUAAGAACAACCCCACCAAUAUUCUUGGUCCCAUGACCUUUUGUUUUAUUUGUUUAGUAGUAUUUGUCAUGACGGCUGGUCAGAAAGACAUAUAUUUAUGAUCGUUCGUUUUUGGGCGCCUUUUAAUUAUUCUUGAACAACUACAAAAUAGAGAAAACAGAAAAAUACUUGCCAAAUUUGAAGGCUUCCAUAUAAACAACACUUAUUAAAAAAAAGCAGACAAUUUAUUAAUAAAAGAAAAUUCAGUAACACGUUUUUAAGAGAACAGUUUAUAGGACUAGGAUUGUGUCAUGAUAUGAUAUCAGAAUUUUUGAGCAAAAUUUAUCUUGGUCAUUGAUGAAAUUAGUUCAUUAAAAAUAUAAACAACCAAGUGCUUUAUUUGAAAGCACUUCUAGCUGAGGGCUCCAAUUCACAAUCAAGCCCUUAUCUCCAAUCCCAUCAACAAACCCUUUUGGGAGCUUGUUUGUUUCCUCUGUAUCUCUUAUUACCCAGAGGAAAUACCUCUGUAUCUCUUAUUACCCAGAGGAAAUACCUCUGUAUCUCUUAUUACCCAGAGGAAAUACCUCUGUAUCUCUUAUUACCCAGAGGAAAUACCUCUGUAUCUCUUAUUACCCAGAGGAAAUACCUCUGUAUCUCUUAUUACCCAGAGGAAAUACCUCUGUAUCUCUUAUUACCCAGAGGAAAUACCUCUGUAUCUCUUAUUACCCAGAGGAAAUACCUCUGUAUCUCUUAUUACCCAGAGGAAAUACCUCUGUAUCUCUUAUUACCCAGAGGAAAUAAAAAGAACUUUUCUUCAAGCCCCACGCCAGUUCUUCCACUUGUUCAUUGGCUAAACAAGCCAUGCUUCCGAAUGAUACAUAAACGACUGAUCCUUCGGGCUUCGUGUUGAGCCAAUUCAUGGUGAUGGAUUUGUCCAAUGUGAAGAGAUUGAGAUCAUAAUCAUUGUCGUUAAGGAUUCUGUUGUCUAGGUAGAAAGAUGGAAGCGUUGGACCGAUUGUGACCAUUGGACAAAAUUUAGACAUUGAAUCUGCCACCUGUAAUAGAUAAAAAAUUGUCCAAUAGUUUCUGGAGUGAUCUCAACAUUAAUUGUGGCUAAAAUUUAUAUACAAGAGGAAACAAAUAGAAACAUUACAAAGUUGCAUAAAUAAAUAAAACAAGGCAAGGUAAAAUUAAAGCGUAGAACUUAUCAUUCAAUAUUUUAUUACAAGAUUUAUAAUUCAGAAAAUCAACUAGUGGAUUUCACAAUUUCAAAAUUUUUUUAUGUGUUUGAGAGUAUUAUUGACACUUUGAAAUAAUUUAAGGGAGAAUAGCGCACUUUCGACCCUUUCAAAUGUUGCUUUAAUUUAAAUGUCAGUUUUAACAACGAAAACGACAUGAGGUAUUAAACAGUUUCUCGAGAGGCAAGUGAUAAAAUCAAAUUACUAGAUGAACGAAAGCGUCGUGCGUUCUUCCAAUUUAAAAGUCAUCUUACAAAAAGUAAUAUAGAAAAGUAAUUUUGAAAAAUGGAUCUUUGGAUGCAAAAUACAGUUGAAAAUGCGUUUUAUAAAAAUGACAACUAAAGUAAAUAUUUAUCAUUAGAUUUAAAAUUAGGAUUGAGACCUCUCUUAAUUCUUUUCUCCCCUAAGUUCUCCUAUUUUUUUCACAUUUAGUGAAAAUAAUUGACAUAAUUGUGGAUAAAAGUGAAAAAAAAAGAGAGAGAAAAAAAUUGACUUAAUUGCUAACUUCAAAAUUCAAACUCAAUUUUCUAAGCUCGGCCAAGUUGUGUGACAUGUCGUGCCGUAUGUCUUACGAAAACGUGUCAUGCUGUGCUGUACAGACAUAUACCGUGCCCCGUGACCUGCACGGCAGUCGGCCAUCUAUAUAGAAAAGUAAUAACGCAAAGUCAAAAUUUACCAUUAGCCGUAAAAUUAACUAACCUGACUUUCCAACUUGUAGAAAGUAUUGACAAGCACAAGGUCAGCUCUAUCUGCGUUGGAGAAUUGAUUCAACACCAUCUCAAAGUAAGCUGGAUAUUGCCCUUGAACACCAAUGAAGGAUGGCAUGUCUUGAAGCUCAAGUAACGGCAUCCCGGGAAUCGAAACCGGCGUUGAAGAAACGGGAAGCUUCAGCAAUCCAUGAUGAACAAGAUAAUAUAUAAAGUUAACAGCACAAGUUUGAGUGAAAAAAGCGGCACUAAACAAACCGAAACCUUUUGCAACAUCAAGAGCCCAAUAAAGAAAAGCGUCAUAGACUACACAAUCAAUAGGAUUUGAAGAGCUUUUGUAUUUUGUGAUGAGUUCAGCUAGGGUUUUUAAGCCUGCAACUUCCAUGUUUUGCAAAUAAGCAUCGAUGCUUUCUGCUUCCGAGAAGCCACCGUCGUCAUAGCCGUCCGAUAUAGUGUCGAUUUGAACUGAAUCGGAGGGCUGAGGUGGUUUUUUGGUUUUGUAAAUGAAGUUUGUUAUGGCUAAAGUGAUUUUCAGACCUUUAGAAGCUAAUCGUUUGGCAAAUUGGAAAGUGGGGUUUAUGUGACCUUGGCUUGGAUAUGAAACUAUCAAGACAUGAGCUCUGUGAAUUUUUUUCUCUUCCAUUUUCUCU